UGGGGAAUAUUGCACAAUGGGCGCAAGCCUGAUGCAGCAACGCCGCGUGAACGAUGAAGGUCUUCGGAUCGUAAAGUUCUGUUGCAGGGGAAGAUAAUGACGGUACCCUGUGAGGAAGCCCCGGCUAACUACGUGCCAGCAGCCGCGGUAAUACGUAGGGGGCUAGCGUUAUCCGGAUUUACUGUGCGUAAAGGGUGCGUAGGUGGUCUUUCAAGUCGGUGGUUAAAGGCUACGGCUCAACCGUAGUUAGCCUCCGAAACUGGAAGACUUGAGUGCAGGAGAGGAAAGUGGAAUUCCCAGUGUAGCGGUGAAAUGCGUAGAUAUUGGGAGGAACACCAGUAGCGAAGGCGGCUUUCUGGACUGCAACUGACACUGAGGCACGAAAGCGUGGGUAGCAAACAGG
rnacentral:rRNA from 1 species